GACGAACGCUGGCGGCGUGCCUAAUACAUGCAAGUAGAACGCUGAAGGAGGAGCUUGCUCUUCUGGAUGAGUUGCGAACGGGUGAGUAACGCGUAGGUAACCUGCCUGGUAGCGGGGGAUAACUAUUGGAAACGAUAGCUAAUACCGCAUAAGAGUAGAUGUUGCAUGACAUUUGCUUAAAAGGUGCAAUUGCAUCACUACCAGAUGGACCUGCGUUGUAUUAGCUAGUUGGUGGGGUAACGGCUCACCAAGGCGACGAUACAUAGCCGACCUGAGGGGGUGAUUGGGCACACGGGAAGGGAGACACGGCCCAUGAUACUACGGGAGGGAGCAGUAGGGAAUCUUUGGACAUUGAGGGAAAGCUGACCGAGAAGCGACGCGUGAGUGAAGAAGGUUUUCGGGUCGUAAAGCUCUGUUGUAAGAGAAGAAAGAGUAUGAGAGUGGAAAGUUCACACUGUGACGGUAUCUUACCAGAAAGGAACGGCUAACUACGUG
rnacentral:rRNA from 1 species